rnacentral:lncRNA from 10 species
CGUCUUUCAGGCUGCCUGCCACAUUGACACUUCACAAAAUUCCCAGGCACACAAAAGUGUUCUCCCUAUAACCGGUGGUAUGUGGAUCCUGCCAGGAUAUGACUAUCGGUAUUUCUACUACAACUUGGUGAGAAAUCACCCCCCUAACCGGAGCUGUGAAGUGGAGGGUCUCAAGGCUGUGCUAUUCAACUUGGCCAUCAGAUGUUAACAGGGGCCUUUUCCAUCAGUCUACAGAGCCCAAAGGGAAUGCCAUAGGAUAUUAAACAUGUCAGCACCAUGCUUUUCAAGAAGAAAUGUGAGAAGCUGGCUUUGGUCACCAAGAUGACCACACUCAAUCACUGCCUAUGCUGGCCUGGGUUGCCUUAGGUUAGUACCCCCCUAUUUAUCCAGACAGCACAGGAUCUUAACUGUAUUAGACAAAAGAAAUAAAGAAUUUAGAGUGCAAUGUCAAAUUAUCCACAUUUUUGCCUUAGGGUAAAAGCACCUUAUAGUUGUAAAAUGUUGUUAUAUUUUGUUUAAGGAGGUGUUUGGUAGUGGGGGUGGGUGGGGAGUUAAAGUUACAUGGAGUUAAGUUUGGGUUUGUGUUGCCAAGUUUCACCUCAAAAUGCAGUAUGAUUUUUCAAAAGUCAAUUUUAUGAGUUGUGAGAAAAAUUACUUGAGGAAAGAGCUCAGGUCUCCUCAAAAAGAAGGAAAAGACAAAGAGGUAGAAAAGUGCAAAAACGUGGAGAGGAGAAGGCAGACAUUCAGGUUCACAUUAAGAGUUGACUGCACUCUUCCUAAUAUCUUAAUGCUUUUUACUGUGAAACACAACACACAUUUGGGAAGAAUGCACAAAACAAAAAUGUAUAACUUGAUGAUUUGCCAGAAGAACCAUGUUAGCCAUGAGCCCAGUUAAUAACUAUGAUACUGCCAGCUCCCCGGAAGUCCUUUAGUACCAUUCAUCCACCACCCAUUUAUACCCACAAGAGUAGUCAUUAGCCUGUCUUUGGUGGUGAUCACUUCAUUGCUUUCCUUUAUAGUUUUUAUACUAAGCAUGCAUCACUAAAUAACACAGUUUAAUUUAAUCUGCUUUUUGAACUUAUUAUAUAUGUGGAAAUAUGCAGCAUGCACUUUUUAAAUUUUUAAUGUUUUUAACAUCUGGCUUCCUUUGCUGAACAUAGUGUUGGAGAGAUUCACUCAUGUUAUUGCCGUGGUAUGGCUAGAACAUUCACUUUCACUGAUGCAGACCACAUCAUUGCAUGAAUAUCCCACCAUUUAUGCAUCUAUUUUACUGUUGGUAGAUAUUUAGAUUUUCUCAAUUUGGGGACUAUUAUAGAUAACGCUGCUAUAAGCAUUUUUGUAUGAGAGUUUUGGUGCCUGCAUUUGUGCUUGGGUAUGUGUGUGCACCCCAGGAGUAAAACUGUUCAGCCAUAGGGUAUGCAUAUCUUCGAAGUUUGCAGAUAUUGCCCAGCUGUUUUCCGGAGUGUUUCUAUCAAGUGGUGCUCCCAUUAGCAUUGUUAAGAGUUACUCCUACUCCACAUCCUAACACUUGGUAUGCAGAGUCAUUUUAACGUUAGCCAUUCUUUUGAGUAUGUGGUCCUAUCUCUUUAUUUUAAUUUGCAUUUCUCUGAUGACUGAGUGUAUUUUUGUAUUUUUCUUUGGAUAUUAUCCUCUUUUGCAAAAUACUUGUUUUUUCCCACUUGAUUUUUUUCUUAUUGAUAUAUAGUUUUUACAUUUUUAAACUUUUCUUUUAGGUUCAGGGGUGUAUGUGCAGGUUUGUUAUAUAAGUAAACUUGUGUCGUGGAGGGGGGGUUUGUUGUUCAGAUUAUUUCAUCACCCAGGUACUAAGCCUAGUUCCCAGUAGUUAUUUUUUCUGCUCCUCUCCCUCCUCCCAGUCUCUAUCCUCAAGUAGGCCCCAGUGUAUGUUGUUCCCUUCGUGUCUAUGAGUUCUCAUCAUUUAGCUCCCACUUAUAAGUGAGAACACGCAGUAUUUGGUUUUCUGUUCCUGCGUUAGUUUGCUAAGGAUAGUGACCUUCAGCUCCAUCCAUGUUCCCACAAAAGAUAUGAUCUCAUUUUUUCUUGUGGCUGCACAGUAUUCCAUGCUGUAUAUGUACCACAUUUUCUUUAUCCAAUCUGCCGUUGAUGGGCAUUUAGGUUGAUUCCAUGUCUUUGAUAUUUGAAUAGUGCUGCAAUGAACAUUCAUGUGCAUGUGUCUUUAUGGUAGAAUGAUUUAUAUUCCCCUAGGUAUAUACCUAGUAAUGAGAUUGCUG